rnacentral:rRNA from 1 species
AUUGAACGCUGGCGGCAUGCCUUACACAUGCAAGUCGAACGGCAGCGGGGGAGAAGCUUGCUUUUCCUGCCGGCGAGUGGCGAACGGGUGAGUAAUACAUCGGAACGUGCCCUGUAGUGGGGGAUAACUAGUCGAAAGAUUAGCUAAUACCGCAUACGACCUGAGGGUGAAAGUGGGGGACCGCAAGGCCUCAUGCUAUAGGAGCGGCCGAUGUCUGAUUAGCUAGUUGGUGGGGUAAAGGCCUACCAAGGCGACGAUCAGUAGCUGGUCUGAGAGGACGAUCCGCCACACUGGGACUGAGACACGGCCCAGACUCCUACGGGAGGCAGCAGUGGGGAAUUUUGGACAAUGGGCGAAAGCCUGAUCCAGCAAUGCCGCGUGUGUGAAGAAGGCCUUCGGGUUGUAAAGCACUUUUGUCCGGAAAGAAAUGGCUCUGGCUAAUACCUGGGGUCGAUGACGGUACCGGAAGAAUAAGGACCGGCUAACUACGUGCCAGCCGCCGCCGUAA